rnacentral:rRNA from 1 species
UACGUAGGGGGCUAGCGUUGUCCGGAAUCAUUGGGCGUAAAGCGCGUGUAGGCGGCCCGGUAAGUCCGCUGUGAAAGUCGGGGGCUCAACCCUCGGAUGCCGGUGGAUACUGGCCGGCUAGAGUAUCGGAGAGGUUGGUGGAAUUCUCGGUGUAGAGGUGAAAUUCGUAGAUAUCGAGAGGAACACCGGUGGCGAAGGCGGGUCUCUGGGCAGUAACUGACGCUGAGGAGCGAAAGCGUGGGGAGCGAACAGG